rnacentral:rRNA from 1 species
UACGUAGGGUGCGAGCGUUGUCCGGAAUUAUUGGGCGUAAAGGGCUCGUAGGCGGUUUGUCGCGUCGGGAGUGAAAACACCGGGCUUAACUCGGUGCUUGCUUUCGAUACGGGCAGACUAGAGGCAUGCAGGGGAGAACGGAAUUCCUGGUGUAGCGGUGAAAUGCGCAGAUAUCAGGAGGAACACCAGCGGCGAAGGCGCUGCUCUGGGCCGGUACUGACGCUGAGGAGCGAAAGCGUGGGGAGCAAACAGG